UCCAAAAAAAUCAACAGGCUAUUCAAAAGUAUUAUGCUCUCCAACUGAAAAUUGGACUGUGGAUAACAUUGAUAAAAAUAUAAUUUAUGAAAACGAUAAAAAUGGCGACACUUUAAGAGUGAAAAGAGUAUUAUUUCAUGAAAAUAAUAUAGGUACCAAAGAAAUCAAAAAUAUUCCAAAACGAAUCAAAUACAUCUACACAAAAUAAUUUUAACAUUGAGUAUUUUAAGUCAGAUAAUUCAGAUUAUGAAAAAUAUAUUUUCACAACAGUCACUCAUAUGAAAUACGAUAUUAAUAAAAUGAUGAGUGUUAUUAAUGUCAUGCAUACAAAUAUAGAGUCUCUGAUGGAUAGUUUGACCGGUAAAUCUAUAGCGAACUGUACGUUAUCACGUGAUAAUCAUCAGGAUGUGGAUUUACAUUCUAUAUUUCCAAUAAACACUGAUGAGCAGCUAACAAGUAUCGAAUCUAAAAUUAUCCAAGAUACUCAAUUCCGGAACAUUUUGGUUUCAAAACUAUCUUUGAUCGCAGUUGCUUCAGAUUUGGGUCACAGCCUUCGAAGAAUAGUUGCCAAAAUGUUUGAUGAUGAAUUUUUAGUAAAUUAUUCACUCAUUGGGUUUAAAAAAAAAAACCGUUCACUAAGUUGAUGCUGUAUCGUGUUGUUAUAGAUUCUCUAAGAAUGCACGUCAAGUAUAAAAUGGCUACGGAUCGAGAAAUUGAACUACCACUGGGCGUUUGGUUAGCACAUGCACCGUUCAGAUUGUUGAAAAAAUUGAAAUGAUCAUUA